rnacentral:rRNA from 1 species
GACGAACGCUGGCGGCGUGCUUAACACAUGCAAGUCGAACGAAGUGGCGAACGGGUGAGUAACGCGUAACCAACCUGCCCUUCAGAGGGGGACACCAGUUGGAAACGACUGCUAAUACCGCAUACUGAAGUAGGGGAUUGCGUCUGAUUAGCUCGUUGGAGGGGUAACGGCCCACCAAGGCGAUGAUCAGUAGCCGGGCUGAGAGGAGGAACGGGCACAUUGGGAAUGAGACACGGCCCAGACUGCUACGGGAGGCAGCAGUGGGGAAUCUGCCGCAAUGGACGAAAGUCGGACGGAGCAACGCCGCGUGAGUGAUGACGGCCUUCGGGGUGUAAAGCGCUGUUAAUCGGGACGCGGUACCGGAAUAGAAAGCCACGGCUAACUACGUGCCAGCAGCCGCGGUAAUAC